UGACCACGAUUCACGUUGUCUCAUCCCUAAUGGUCAUCACUAAUAUGCACGAGGGCGACUAAGGUAGUACGGUGUGAUGCUUCAUGGAAUUGUUGAGAGAAGGACGGUGGUUUGUUUCUCAGAUCAGUGUGACUGGCGUCUUCUGGCUCCGACCGGCGACUUUCCGACUGCUACGUCAACAACGGUUUCUUGGCUCCACGUGGUUCGGAGAUUUAGAGACAGCAUCAAAUUUCGCUCACGGCACACCACCGGCGAGUGCAGGAGGAAGACAACGACGUUUAUCUACAAGAACUUGCGUGUAAUUUUUUAUUCCUUUAAAGAUGGUUCUGUAAGGGUUGGUUGGUUGAUUUAA